GACGAACGCUGGCGGCGUGCUUAACACAUGCAAGUCGAACGGAAAGGCCCUGCUUUUGUGGGGUGCUCGAGUGGCGAACGGGUGAGUAACACGUGAGUAACCUGCCCUUGACUUUGGGAUAACUUCAGGAAACUGGGGCUCAUACCGGAUAGGAGCUCCUGCUGCAUGGUGGGGGAUGGAAAGUUUCGGCGGUUGGGGAUGGACUCGCGGCUUAUCAGCUUGGUGGUGGGGUAGUGGCUUACCAAGGCUUUGACGGGUAGCCGGCCUGAGAGGGUGACCGGCCACAUAGGUACGGAGAUGCGGACCAGACUCCGACGGGAUGCAGCAGAGGACAAUAGUGCACAAGGGGCGGAAGCCUCAUGCAGCGACGCGGCGGGCGAGAUGACGUCCGGCGGGUUAUAAACCUCUAUCGCCUGAGACGAAGCGUGAGUGACGGUAAUGAGUAAAGAAGCACCAGCUAACUA
rnacentral:rRNA from 1 species